AUGAAAAUAGUGAGUUGGAACUGCUGGGGACUCGGGAAUGGCCCGACAGUUCGCAGCCUCCUCGAGUUGGGAAGGGUGGAGGAUCCUGACAUUUUAUUCUUGGCAGAAACAAAACUAUCAAUAAACGAGCUUGAGAGGUUUAGAUGGAUGAUGGGACCUAUUAAUAUGUGUGCAAGGAAUCCGGUUGGAAGGAGCAGAGGGGUGGCACUAUUCUGGAGGCGGGGUGUCAAUGUUGCAUUGGGAUCGUAUGGUAGG
rnacentral:rRNA from 1 species